rnacentral:rRNA from 1 species
AGCUCCUUAUGGAGCGAAGUCUUUGAUUCCCCGCUGCCAAGAAAAGCUUCUAGCGAGAUAAAAGGUGCCUGUACCGCAAACCGACACAGGUAGGCGAGGAGAGAAUCCUAAGGUGUGCGAGAGAACUCUGGUUAAGGAACUCGGCAAAAUGACCCCGUAACUUCGGGAGAAGGGGUGCUUUCUUAACGGAAAGCCGCAGUGAAUAGGCCCAAGCGACUGUUUAGCAAAAACACAGGUCUCUGCGAAGCCGUAAGGCGAAGUAUAGGGGCUGACACCUGCCCGGUGCUGGAAGGUUAAGGAGAGGGGUUAGCGUAAGCGAAGCUCUGAACUGAAGCCCCAGUAAACGGCGGCCGUAACUAUAACGGUCCUAAGGUAGCGAAAUUCCUUGUCGGGUAAGUUCCGACCCGCACGAAAGGUGUAACGAUUUGGGCACUGUCUCAACCAGAGACUCGGUGAAAUUAUAGUACCUGUGAAGAUGCAGGUUACCCGCGACAGGACGGAAAGACCCCGUGGAGCUUUACUGUAGCCUGAUAUUGAAUUUUGGUACAGUUUGUACAGGAUAGGCGGGAGCCAUUGAAACCGGAGCGCUAGCUUCGGUGGAGGCGCUGGUGGGAUACCGCCCUGACUGUAUUGAAAUUCUAACCUACGGGUCUUAUCGACCCGGGAGACAGUGUCAGGUGGGCAGUUUGACUGGGGCGGUCGCCUCCUAAAGUGUAACGGAGGCGCCCAAAGGUUCCCUCAGAAUGGUUGGAAAUCAUUCGUAGAGUGCAAAGGCAUAAGGGAGCUUGACUGCGAGACCUACAAGUCGAGCAGGGACGAAAGUCGGGCUUAGUGAUCCGGUGGUUCCGCAUGGAAGGGCCAUCGCUCAACGGAUAAAAGCUACCCCGGGGAUAACAGGCUUAUCUCCCCCAAGAGUCCACAUCGACGGGGAGGUUUGGCACCUCGAUGUCGGCUCAUCGCAUCCUGGGGCUGUAGUCGGUCCCAAGGGUUGGGCUGUUCGCCCAUUAAAGCGGUACGCGAGCUGGGUUCAGAACGUCGUGAGACAGUUCGGUCCCUAUCCGUCGUGGGCGUAGGAAAUUUGAGAGGAGCUGUCCUUAGUACGAGAGGACCGGGAUGGACGCACCGCUGGUGUACCAGUUGUUCUGCCAAGGGCAUAGCUGGGUAGCUAUGUGCGGAAGGGAUAAGUGCUGAAAGCAUCUAAGCAUGAAGCCCCCCUCAAGAUGAGAUUUCCCAUAGCGUAAGCUAGUAAGAUCCCUGAAAGAUGAUCAGGUUGAUAGGUUCGAGGUGGAAGCAUGGUGACAUGUGGAGCUGACGAAUACUAAUAGAUCG